GAUGAACGCUGGCGGCGUGCCUAAUACAUGCAAGUCGAGCGAACAGAUGAGGAGCUUGCUCCUCUGACGUUAGCGGCGGACGGGUGAGUAACACGUGGAUAACCUACCUAUAAGACUGGGAUAACUUCGGGAAACCGGAGCUAAUACCGGAUAAUAUAUUGAACCGCAUGGUUCAAUAGUGAAAGACGGUUUUGCUGUCACUUAUAGAUGGAUCCGCGCCGCCUUAGCUAGUUGGUAAGGUAACGGCUUACCAAGGCAACGAUGCGUAGCCGACCUGAGAGGGUGAUCGGCCACACUGGAACUGAGACACGGUCCAGACUCCUACGGGAGGCAGCAGUAGGGAAUCUUCCGCAAUGGGCGAAAGCCUGACGGAGCAACGCCGCGUGAGUGAUGAAGGUCUUCGGAUCGUAAAACUCUGUUAUUAGGGAAGAACAAAUGUGUAAGUAACUAUGCACGUCUUGACGGUACCUAAUCAGAAAGCCACGGCUAACUACGUG
rnacentral:rRNA from 1 species